UCCUCUGAAGAAACAGCUGCAGAAUGUGGAAUCAGUUGUGUGAAAUUCCCUUUGGCAAGACCUUUGACCCUUGACUUCUGCUAGAUCCAGCUGAGUGAUCAAAGAGAGGACUUUUGCAGGUUUCACCUCCCCUGGACUCUGGACUUGCCCUGAUUUCUGGGCAUUAGGAUCUGGGGGUCCUCAUCUCUGCCAUGGAGAGCUCAGGGAGACAGUGGGGGCAAGCACAGCAGCUCAGCUGGGAAGCCAGGAGAUGGAAAGGUUAUGCCAGGAAAACAGGAGAUUGAUCUAUCCCCACAGCAGUGAUGCUGAAAGCCUGGGCAGAUGGCUUCUGUCCCCCUGCAGUGUGACCAAGUAACCUCAGGGUGGGACUUGCUGACUGAAACAACUCUGCUUGAUCUGUGUGGGGCUGAUGGAUGCAGCAUUUAUUGUGCUCUUUAAUUAACUAGCAAAAGGUUAGUUCACUGAUUAAGGUAGGGUGUUUGUUUUAAAAGUUUGCUUCUUUAUUAAAG
rnacentral:lncRNA from 1 species